rnacentral:Y_RNA from 1 species
GGCUGGUCCAAUGGUAGUGGGUUAUCAGAACUUAUUAACAUUAGUAUCCCUAAAGUUGGUAUUCAACCUCCCACUGCUAAAUUGGACUAACUUUUA